AGACCUCUCCCCCACCCCCCCCACCCCCGCCCCCGGAGGCUCAGGCUGCUGCAGGCAGGGUUGGCUUUGAAAACCACUGUCUUCUUUCUACUAAGCCUGGAAGGUCCUCAACACAGAGAAGACACUCAAGAAAUGCUACUUUAACCCCCAAGGACCCGAACCUGCUCCGGGAGGAUGUCCAAGUCCUGCCUCUUCCUGUCCUCCCUCUCUCCCCGCUCUCUUCCACCCGCAUGCAGGGAGAAAGGGGAGGAACUCUGAUCUGUGAGAUGCUGGUCACGCAGGACAGCAGAUCUGGGAGGGCUCACCUCCAGUGCCCCCAGGAUGACCAUGCCGAGUGUGAUCAGUGGAGAACAGCAGGUGGCACAAAUCAGAAACUCAGGAAAGCCUUCAUAGAGGUGAUCCCAAGCGCAGGAAAAAUCAGCAGACGGGCUACACAGGAAAUUUGGGCAAACCCCAGAGCUGCAGAACAAGAGGCCUUCGGGAACCAUCAGGACUUUGCUGAGCGCCGGACCUUGGCCCAGGAGAGGAGAGGAGAAGACAGGAGACCGGGCCAGGGCCUCAUCUGGAAGAGGAAACCACUUGCAGGCAGGACAGCCACCGUCAGCCCAUACCUACUUUCAGAAAUUAAGUGUCCAGUGCAAGUUCACGCAGCUAAUAGGUGAUAGUUAUAUGGGCCUCCAACUGAUAACUACUAAUGAGUGGUUCAAACUAGGAACCUGCUGGCUGGUGAUGAGUAUCGAAGCAUCCAGUGAAAAUCAGCUGUGGGUGAUACAGACCUUCCAUAGAUCCCAGCACAAGUCAUCUAAGCAAGCAAUCCCCGUAAGGCGUGAUCCUGGAUGAAGCACAAUUGGAAAAUUCACCCGCCAUCUUGUCACAUCGCUUUAGAUGACAAUGAAGACGCAUUAGGUUAAGUGUGUUAAUCAUACCUGUUGAAGCAAAACAGAGGCAGGUCCUCAGCUGUCCCUUCAGUCCGUGGAUGUGUGUUCAGGGUUCACUGCCAUACAGAGCUGUGACUGCUCUCUUCCCCCGGGGGCCUGAGGUGAAUACAUAGAUGGAGCCAUUCCUUGGUGUUGUGUGACUGUAAGGUGCAUUAGGGACCUACAGAGGCAGAUCCUAGUGUGCUCUGGACAAAAGAGGCCUGUCCUUUCUCAGAUCUUUGGGUCUGCUUUCCAUUGUAACCUAUAACUUGCCACACACUCAGCUUGGUUUCCCAAAGUCUUCUAUUUGCAAGUGCCUAAUAGUUGUUGAGAAUUUCUUAGGAGCCAGGUGCCCCAGUUAAGGCAAUCCCAAUCAUCUGUCAUAUAGUUCUCCCAAGAACUCCAUCGUCUUAUUUUGCACAUGAGAAUCCGAGACUCAGAGAGAGUAAGUUACUUGACCAAGGUUUACACAGCCAACCGGUGACAGAGCUAGGGUGAGGAAGGAGUGACUCUCGCAACCAUGAGACUGGAGGGACAAAGACGGUCUCCUCUGUUUGGCAGCUAGUUGACUUGGAGUAAGUGAUAGGAGAGGACAUGAGGUUUGUUGGGUGGGUCUGCAAGGCUAGGAAAGGCAUUUGAAGCUGCUGACUUCUUAGAGACUCACGGUCCCGAAUUCUAAAUGAAGUGUUAAAGUCUGGGGAUCAUCAACACUUGAUACAAGUCAGUAUGUGGAGGUGGGAAGAAUGGAAGGAUGUAUCCAGAGGUGGGGGCAGUGAGGCUCU
ensembl:lncRNA